CCUACGGGGGGCUGCAGUAGGGAAUCUUCCACAAUGGGCGAAAGCCUGAUGGAGCAACGCCGCGUGGGUGAAGAAGGUCUUCGGAUCGUAAAACCCUGUUGUUAGAGAAGAAAGUGCGUGAGAGUAACUGUUCACGUUUCGACGGUAUCUAACCAGAAAGCCACGGCUAACUACGUGCCAGCAGCCGCGGUAAUACGUAGGUGGCAAGCGUUAUCCGGAUUUAUUGGGCGUAAAGGGAACGCAGGCGGUCUUUUAAGUCUGAUGUAAAAGCCUUCGGCUUAACCGGAGUAGUGCAUUGGAAACUGGGAGACUUGAGUGCAGAAGAGGAGAGUGGAACUCCAUGUGUAGCGGUGAAAUGCGUAGAUAUAUGGAAGAACACCAGUGGCGAAAGCGGCUCUCUGGACUGUAACUGACGCUGAGGUUCGAAAGCGUGGGUAGCAAACAGGAUUAGAUACCCUAGUAGUC
rnacentral:rRNA from 1 species